UGUUAUCCCUAGAAUUGCUCCUUAUUUCCCACGCCGUUCUCUUGCGGUCUCUCCAUCCGCCUCCGAGUAUCCCGCCUCACUCUCGACGAGAAGAUCUCUCCAUCCGCCUCCGAGUAUCCCGCCUCACGCUUGUGAACGCCGUCCCCGCCAUUCCCUGCCUCGGAAUUCCUGCAUAUGUACAGCCGGUGGUCGGAGUCGCCAAUGUAAAAAAAUGCAUUUCGUUGAUUGGCCCGAUCAGCCCCUCCACCAGCUUCCCUCAAGUCAUCCUCAUCACCGCCGCCUCUUUCGAUGAAGACCUCUUGUAUCACAUUUUCCAGUCAAUUUACAGAUCCAAAUCUCAGCUCUUUGUUGAGGGGCAAGCAGGCGCAACCACACAGGCUGGAAGCAACAAAAAUUAAGGAAAAUAAACCAAAAAACAGUUUCUAAUGCCAUGCCAUCAGCCAGAUCAUCAAUUAAUCGGAAGAAAGGGAUGGGAACCGGCUACGCGGUGAAAUUGGAGGCAUUUAGGCUGUUGAGUGGGGUAAUUGCACGUUUUUUAGGUUCAGUGGUCUGAUUGCACUAUCGCGUUACGUUCAGUGGUCAAUUUGGCCCUUAUUCCUAUUAGAAAAUACAACACAAUUUUGAAAAAAGAAGUUAUUUCCAAUCACGAUUUGCAAUAAUCAAGGGACUGACACGUUUUUGGGAUAAAUAUGUAUUGCAUGAUAUAAUGUCAUCGUGCAUUAUAAUGCACAAUAUGAUAAUAGAGGAUGAACAUGAUGAGAAUAUUAUAUUUCAA